CCUAAGGCCGGCCCUGAUGUAAAGAUUUAACAUAAUAGCUACAUGAUAACUAACCUAUAUCUCCCUUUCAUUCCUCAAACCGGAACAGGACACAGCUUAUGUGAUUCAUGAAGUUUCAGAAGCAUGAUAACAGGAUAAUAUAUAUAAUGCUAAUUCAGAAUCCGCUUUUGAACAGUAGGACGAAGAAAUCAUUCUGUAGAUCAGCUCUGCGGGUGGACUUCUAUAUGUCUUCUGCACAUCAUUCGUCUUCUACAUAAAUAAAAAAAAAUAAAAAAGGCCUACAUUAUUUUGGUCUACAGCUCUCUGAAUUAGUUGACCACAAAACAUACAAAUCAUUGACAGCAAUCUAGAAAGGCCUGUGUGUGAUUGACCAACUAUUUUAUUCACCUCUCAUCAUGAUGUGUUUCGCCAUUGUGUUUGUCCUACUGAUUGGCGCACCUGUAGGAAUGUCUGCAGGUCUGAUUGGGCUGUGUGCAGAGAUGUGCAACUCUGGAUGGCUGCUAAGGUCUCUGGGGGCCUCGUCCUGCCCUGAAGGCUAUGAAUGCAGGUCUAAUGGCUGUGGUCAUGCCUGUGUGAGAAUUGUGGGUAUAACGGCUCUCUCUGAACCUUGUCCGCCAUACUGUGAAUGCCCCGAGGGUAAAAGGUGCUAUGUAGGAAACAAUAUUUGUGGAUUUAAUUGCGGAGCCUACACACAUUCACGUGGACCUGUUGACCAGAAUCUCACUAUCUCGUGCACGCCAUGGGUGAGUAAGACUCUAAAUUUAGCCCUACCUUUACAAAUUAACAAACACGGGUUGUAACAAUUGUUCUGAAUAUGAUCACUUAAAGUGUGAGUAGAAAUGUAAUGAACAACUUCCACUAGUCGAAUCAGCCAGGAAAAACCAGUUGAAUAUGAUCUUUAACACGCACGACAAGUUAACUCACGGAUACGCUUAGAUUUUUUUUUACGAUGCGUCUGUAACGUCUCUGCUUCUAUUGCGUGCUCAUGGCGCUCCGGGUUGAACUUCUUUUGUAAGCACUUGUGGGAUUUAUAUUUGAGAACGAAUUUCCUGCUGCUAAUAGGUGCCCAGAAAUUAAAACUUAUCUCUAUUUAUACUAUAUACCUGGAAAUCAGCAACUGUUAUAGAAGAUAGAACGUGUAUAGAAAAUUAGGUCUUUUGAUAGAAAUCUAGGAAUAUGGAAAUAAUUAUUUUUAAAAUAAACAGCAAAAAAAAAUGAGUGAAUAUAUAUAUUUAUUAUAUAUAGUAAAUACUUUCACAUUAAACAUUUGAAUGUAAUAUUUGAAUGAUGCAAGUUGUAACUCAAAUUAUGUACAUGGUAGAAAUAAGUUAAUGCUUGAGAAAUCGCGUGUAAUUUAUUUGUUUACUAUGUAGUAUUUUUUAGAAAUAAUCAACAAACUAUUUACGUUCAAAUUUGGAUAAAUAUGACUCAUCCAGAAUCAAAACAAUGUGAGACGAAACAUGCUCACGUGUGGCUGAUCACACUCUUUAGUAAUUAGAGGAACACCUAAUCACGUGAUACACAUCUAGACUUCCAUAUAUAUUGGCCUAUAUAUGUGUAGAUAGAAAGAAUACACUUGAAUGUUUCUUGCUGCUAGUUGAAGACUGAAACUUUCAAAAUGAAACGUUUCUUCAAACUUCUUUUAUUUUCCUUUUUAUUCGCUGCGUCCACUGCCUCACCUGCCUCUCGGAUAGGCUUGUGCUGGGAAUUGUGUAGAACUGACCAGUCAACUGAAACAUCUA